UGCAUCAGCAGCACCAUGCUCCAGUGCUCUGGGAGAGUUUAUAGUCCUGAGAGUUGAAGACUGGAUGACUGACAGCUGUCCUUCAUCACAACAGAAGACUUGGAAAUCCUCCUGAUCAAAACCAUGACUUUGAUCUGCGUCCUCAUCUGGACUCUCCUCUGCUGCUGCUUCACAGAGUCCAGAGGUCAGGUCACAGUGACUCAGUCUGCAGCAGUGAGCUCUGCUGUGGGACGCUCCGUCUCCAUCUCAUGUAGGACCAGUCAGGAUGUUUAUAACAACGACUAUUUAUACUGGUACCAACAGAAAGAUGGACAACCUCCUAAACUCCUCGUUAAUGGCGCUACCCGCCGACAAUCAGGAAUCUCAGAUCGUUUUUCAGGCAGUGGAUCUGGAUCUGACUUCACUCUGACCAUCAGAGGAGUUCAGGCUGAAGAUGCUGCAGUUUAUUACUGUCAGAGUCGACAUUUUAUAAACAGCCAGAAUCUGUUCACACAGUGAAAACCCGUCGUACAAAAACCUCCCUCAGUCAGGCUGAACAGAAACUAACAGCUGGAAGCUUCAGCAGUUCACUGAUGACAUAAACACGUGUAGCAACACUUUCAUCCUUCAAAACACUAAAUAUGAUAUUUUAUCUUAAAAUAAAAUAAUUACAUGUGCUGAAUUUAAUAAACCUUUAUAACUCAUUUAGAGUUUAAAGAGUUGAUGAUUU